rnacentral:rRNA from 1 species
UUGGAGGGCAAGUCUGGUGCCAGCAGCCGCGGUAAUUCCAGCUCCAAUAGCGUAUAUUAAAGUUGUUGCAGUUAAAGAGCUCGUAGUUGAAUUUCGGGGUCAGCAGGUUGGUCGUGCCAAUGGUAUGCACUGGCCUUGCUGAUUCCUCCCUCUUGAUGAGCCGUAAUGCCAUUAAUUUGGUGUUGUGAGGAAUCUGGACUGUUACUUUGAAAAAAUUAGAGUGUUUAAAGCAGGCUAACGCUUGAAUACAUUAGCAUGGAAUAAUGAAAUAGGACGUUCGAUCUUAUUUUGUUGGUUUCUAAGAUUGACGUAAUGAUUAAUAGGGAUAGUUGGGGGCAUUAGUAUUCAAUUGUCAGAGGUGAAAUUCUUGGAUUUAUUGAAGACUAACUACUGCGAAAGCAUUUGCCAAGGAUGUUUUCAUUAAUCAAGAUCGAAAGUUAGGGGAUCGAAGACGAUCAGAUACCGUCGUAGUCUUAACCAUAAACUAUGCCGACUAGGGAUCGGAUGAUGUUAAUUUUUUAAUGACUCAUUCGGCGCCUUACGGGAAAC